rnacentral:rRNA from 1 species
AAUCUUCCACAAUGGGCGAAAGCCUGAUGGAGCAACGCCGCGUGAGUGAAGAAGGAUUUAGGCUCGUAACACUCUGUUGUACGGGAAGAACACGUGCAGUAGUAACUGGCUGUACCUUGACGGUACCUUACUAGAACGCCACGGCUAACUACGUGCCAGCAGCCGCGGUAAUACGUAGGGGGCAAGCGUUGUCUGGAAUUAUUGGGCGUAACGAGCGCGCAGGCGGUCCUUUAAGUCUGAUGUGAAAGCCCACGGCUCAACCGUGGAGGGUCAUUGGAAACUGGGGGACUUGAGUGCAGAAGAGGAAAGUGGAAUUCCAAGUGUAGCGGUGAAAUGCGUAGAGAUUUGGAGGAACACCAGUGGCGAAGGCGACUUUCUGGUCUGUAACUGACGCUGAGGCGCGAAAGCGUGGGGGGCAAACA